rnacentral:rRNA from 1 species
GUCUAUGGCCAUACCACCCUGAACGUGCCCAAUCUCGUCUGAUCUCAGAAGCUAAGCAGGGUUGGGCCUGGUUAGUACUUGGAUAGGAGAAAUAUGGAUGCUGGAAGUA